CUCAGGAUGAACGCUAGCUACAGGCUUAACGACAUGCAAGUCGAGGGUUCGAUGGAGCUUGCUCCUUUGGAACGACCGGCGCACGGGUGAGUAACGCGUAUCCAACCUGCCCUUCAUAUUGGUAUAGCCUCCCGAAAGGGAGAUUAAUCCCGAAUGCCAUAUCAUAGUUGCCUGACGAUGAUAUGAAAGCUCCGGCGAUGAAGGAUGGGGAUGCGUUCCAUUAGGUAGUAGGCGGGGUAACGGCCCACCUAGCCGACGAUCAGUAGGGGUUCUGAGAGGAAGGUCCCCCACACUGGAACUGAGACACGGUCCAGACUCCUACGGGAGGCAGCAGUGAGGAAUAUUGGUCAAUGGGCGCGAGCCUGAACCAGCCAAGUAGCGUGCAGGAUGACGGCCCUAUGGGUUGUAAACUGCUUUUAUGCGGGGAUAAAUGAUCCUACGUGUAGGAUUUUGCAGGUACCGCAUGAAUAAGGACCGGCUAAUUCCGUG
rnacentral:rRNA from 1 species